rnacentral:ncRNA from 2 species
AUUAAAUAGCUGGGGUGCCAAUAACGGCUGAGAUUAUACCCGUUGAACCUGAUCUAGGUAAUGCUAGCGUAGGUAAUAAAGUGACAUUCAGU